UUGGAGGGCAAGUCUGGUGCCAGCAGCCGCGGUAAUCCCAGCUCCAAUAGCGUAUAUUAAAGUUGUUGCAGUUAAAAAGCUCGUAGUUGAAUUUCGGGGUUAGUAGGUUGGUCAUGCCACUGGUAUGUACUGGUCUCACUGAUUCCUCCUUCCUGAUGAGCCGUAAUGCCAUUAAUUUGGUGUUGCGGGGAAUCUGGACUGUUACUUUGAAAAAAUUAGAGUGUUUAAAGCAAGCUAACGCUUGAAUACAUUAGCAUGGAAUAAUGAAAUAGGACGUUCGAUCCUAUUUUGUUGGUUUCUAGGAUUGACGUAAUGAUUAAUAGGGAUAGUUGGGGGCAUUAGUAUUCAAUUGUCAGAGGUGAAAUUCUUGGAUUUAUUGAAGACUAACUACUGCGAAAGCAUUUGCCAAGGAUGUUUUCAUUAAUCAAGAACGAAAGUUAGGGGAUCGAAGACGAUCAGAUACCGUCGUAGUCUUAACCAUAAACUAUGCCGACUAGGGAUCGGAUGAUGUUAAUUUUUUAAUGACUCAUUCGGCGCCUUACGGGAAACCAAAGUGUUUGGGUUC
rnacentral:rRNA from 1 species